GGGGUGAUGGGACAGUUGGGAGUCCGUUAGACUGAAGUGUUAUGUUUCGAGAUCUAGAAGUCCUGGGAUCGAUGCCCAGUCAUCCCA